rnacentral:rRNA from 1 species
GACGAACGCUGGCGCGUGCUUAACACAUGCCAGUCGAACGGAAAGGCCCUGCUUUUGUGGGGUGCUCGAGUGGCGAACGGGUGAGUAACACGUGAGUAACCUGCCCUUGACUUUGGGAUAACUUCAGGAAACUGGGGCUAAUACCGGAUAGGAGCUCCUGCUGCAUGGUGGGGGUUGGAAAGUUUCGGCGGUUGGGGAUGGACUCGCGGCUUAUCAGCUUGUUGGUGGGGUAGUGGCUUACCAAGGCUUUGACGGGUAGCCGGCCUGAGAGGGUGACCGGCCACAUUGGGACUGAGAUACGGCCCAGACUCCUACGGGAGGCAGCAGUGGGGAAUAUUGCACAAUGGGCGGAAGCCUGAUGCAGCAACGCCGCGUGCGGGAUGACGGCCUUCGGGUUGUAAACCGCUUUCGCCUGUGACGAAGCGUGAGUGACGGUAAUGGGUAAAGAAGCACCGGCUAACUACGUG